UGGGAGUAUAAAAAACGUAACAAGGUUUCCGUAGGUGAACCUGCGGAAGGAUCAUUACAGUAUUCUUUUGCCAGCGCUUAACUGCGCGGCGAAAAACCUUACACACAGUGUCUUUUUGAUACAGAACUCUUGCUUUGGUUUGGCCUAGAGAUAGGUUGGGCCAGAGGUUUAACAAAACACAAUUUAAUUAUUUUUACAGUUAGUCAAAUUUUGAAUUAAUCUUCAAAACUUUCAACAACGGAUCUCUUGGUUCUCGCAUCGAUGAAGAACGCAGCGAAAUGCGAUAAGUAAUAUGAAUUGCAGAUUUUCGUGAAUCAUCGAAUCUUUGAACGCACAUUGCGCCCUCUGGUAUUCCAGAGGGCAUGCCUGUUUGAGCGUCAUUUCUCUCUCAAACCCCCGGGUUUGGUAUUGAGUGAUACUCUUAGUCGGACUAGGCGUUUGCUUGAAAAGUAUUGGCAUGGGUAGUACUGGAUAGUGCUGUCGACCUCUCAAUGUAUUAGGUUUAUCCAACUCGUUGAAUGGUGUGGCGGGAUAUUUCUGGUAUUGUUGGCCCGGCCUUACAACAACCAAACAAGUUUGACCUCAAAUCAGGUAGGAAUACCCGCUGAACUUAAGCAUAUCAAAAGCCGGAGGAA
rnacentral:rRNA from 1 species